GUGCAGAGGGAACUCCUUCCAAACGCUAAGGAAGGCAUUUGAAGCUCCCUGGUGUGCAUGAUGUCACCAAACUGACACCCACUGGGGACAAGAACCCAGAAGUUCCACGUGGGUUCCUGAAGAGCUUUGAGUGGAGAAGCAGGAACAGCCAAUAGAGAGCGCCCCGGCAUUUGCUUAUCAAAGCUUCCCGGCCCGACGGCGCUCCCGCCCGCCAGCCCUCCGCCCUGGGAGCCGCGCUCUGCGCCCCUCCGCGCCCCAGACCUGCUGGAAGAGAAAAGAGCGGCUAAAUCAUCCCAUUAAAAAGAAAUUAAAGUGAAAACAAAGCGCUGCCUCGUA